rnacentral:tRNA from 1 species
UUCCUGGAGGACUAGUGGUUAGGCAUCAGCACUCUCAAGGCCAUGGCCCAGGUUCAAUUCCUGGCUAGGGAA